rnacentral:misc_RNA from 1 species
UUUCUUCCUUGUUACACUAUAUCUUUUUAUGCUUGUAGUUUACCAUCUUGGUCAUUUCAUAUAUGCCGUUAUUUGUAAGCAUUUAUCUUGCUGUGGAUUGAGGGUUCGGGCUAGAAUUUUAUUUGGCGGCUUCUGACCUGUAACUUCUCCUAUUAUUUUUUUUUACUUUAAAAUGCUUUCAAACAAUUUGGCCUGUGAGCUAUAAAUUAAUCGCUUUUUUUCGUUCUGGGUCUGAUUACUAAGCCGGGAGGGAAAAUGAAGAAAGAAUCUCAGCAACGAUUAAACUCAUUUUUACUACUGCUUCUGUUGGUACAGCCAGAGAGGAACUCAAACAUUGUCUCCCGAUCUAUUAUUUCAAGAUGGAAUUGAACUGCUAGGACAAUUUGAAUGAUUACGUUCAUCAUUCAAAUGGUAAAAUUCCAUUGCAAAAUGCAGAGUCUCAUUCUAGAAUGCUCUACUUAAUAUUUUCCAUUAAAUGUUGUAUUUGAAAUUUUAAAUUUGAUUAAAAAUAAGGAGUAACCACCACCCUCUUGUUAGAGUUUAAAUGUGAGGUGUGAGAAAGUGGUAAAAAAUUGUGGAAUAAAACUGUUGUGUGGAUAAAUGGUGCAUAAGAUCUUGUGAGGUGCUUGCUUUAGCUGUAUUAUGCUGCAAAUUUAUUGUAUUUGAUAACUUGUAUCAUUGAAUCAGCAUGUUCAAGCUACUGCUCAUUACGAGCGAAUGUUCACUUCUCUCAUUUAAUGUGGAAUUAGGGUUUAAAAUAGAAUGAAAUAUCUUUAGUUUUUCUAAGUGUUAAUUUGGGCUUGGGUGCAGGUGAGUUUGAGCGAGUAGCAGGACACACAUCAAAAGUAAAAGUGCACACAUAUGGCACACAGUUUGUUAUUACUGGAUCCAACUAUUUGUUUUUGUGCAUCUGGUGCUGAAAUUUGUAUAUUUUGUUAUGUAUAAAGGUACAGGUGAUUUGGGCGAGCGACCCAGUUUCACAACGGAGGGAAGGAG